ensembl:lncRNA
AUGCCUCCUCUGCUGUCGUCUCUCUCCACACUGGUGCUGUAUCUCCGGCGGCAGCAGCACGCCUCGUUCCUGUCGCUGUCCCGCGCUCCUCCAUCCGCUGAGGCCUGGCGUCUGCUCUGCCACUCCAGCCUGGCUCUGCUGAUCCUCUACAACCGGCACCGCGAGUGUGAGGUGGCCAAGCUCACGGUGCAGGACUACCGCAGCCGCUCCUCCUGCGACGCCGCUCUGUCGCCGUUCGAGCGCGCCGUCCUCGGCCAGCUCCCGCGUGUUAGCGUGUUGGGCAAACGCGGACGCCUCCAGCCGCUCAUCCUUCCUCCGCACUCAGAGGCGUGUCUGGAUCUGCUCCUGAAGACGUCUGCAGACGUGGGUGUGGAUCCCCAGAGCCCCUAUGUGUUCUCCCGGCCGUAUCACUCCCCGGCCACGCCGCUGCGCGGGACAGACCUGCUGCGGAGCCUGGCGCGCUCUAGCGGUGCUAAGAACCCCGCGGCGCUCACCGCUCCCCGCGCACGCCGACAGGUGGCCAUCCUGACCCAGCUGCUGCUGCUGGAGGAGGGAGAGCGGGCCGCCAAACGCCUGGAGGACUUCCUGCAGAACGAGUAUCACGUGACUCAGAGCUGCGCUCGGAUUGGUCAGGACCCGGCGCUGAUGAACCGCGUGGGGAGAGUCGUUCUGUACGGAGAGAGAGAGGGAGUGCUGUUCAGAGGAAUGAGCCUGCAGCACAUCUGCCUCGAGCUGGACGUGAUGUCGGGGAACUCUGCCGACUCGUUCUCUGAUGACUCUGAUGGAGAGGCCAGUAAGAGUCAAGACAGAGCCGGCGCUGGCAAGAAGAAAGGGUUGAGUACUCGAGCGCCGCGGCCGAAGAAGAGCAGCCGCCCUCAUCAGUGCACCAGCUCGCCGUCCGCGGCACACAAGAGACGCAGCGCUCAGGUCAAAUCAGGGAAGCGCGGCGUGCUGAAGCGGCCGUGGUCGGAGGCGGAGCGGGUCGCCGUGGAGACGCACCUGAAGAGGAACAUCAUGGAGCUGCGUGUUCCUGCGAAAGCGGACUGUGAGCGGUGCCUGCAGCUCUGCCCUCUGCUGGUCAGCAACCAGCGCGACUGGAGGGCCAUCAAGUUCUACUGCCACAACCGCAUCCAGCUCCUGAAGAAACAGGGACGCAGAGACGGGAACACAGCCCCCGCGGUCUGCUAACCGCAGUAACACACACACAUACAGAUGACAGAACGGUGUUGUGUUUUGUUUAAUAACUGUUCUUCAAAGCUAGCACACAGUGCAAUCGCGCACACACUUCACACAUUCCCCCGUGUGUGUGUCUCUCGGAUCAUCUCUCUCAAACUAAGGAUCUGUUUCACACGCCGGUGUUCAGACUCAGAAUGAACUGAAGCAGGUUUGGAGACGCUACAG